UACAGAGGGUGCGAGCGUUAAUCGGAAUUACUGGGCGUAAAGCGCGCGUAGGCGGCUUUGCAAGUCGGGUGUGAAAUCCCCAGGCUCAACCUGGGAACUGCAUUCGAGACUGCAUUGCUAGAGUAUGGGAGAGGGAAGUGGAAUUUCCGGUGUAGCGGUGAAAUGCGUAGAUAUCGGAAGGAACAUCAGUGGCGAAGGCGACUACCUGGCCUGUUUCUUGACGCUGAGGCGCGAAAGCUAGGGGAGCAAACGGG
rnacentral:rRNA from 1 species